UGCAUUCUCCACUCUCCCCCUCUGAAGAUUCAGAAUUAAGAGAAAUUUGGAGAUGAAGAUCACCUGAGUGUCCUCAUUUUACUAAUGAUGAAACUAGGCCUACCAAGCCCCUUUUACAGAUGACUGUAUCUCUUCUAAAUCAAAACUGAGAAAAAGAAUGAUGAAUGCAGCUUUGACAAACAAUAGAGAGAAGAACAGGGACACAUGUGGAGGCACCAUGUCACAGUUUCUCUCACAGAAAGAGCCACAUGCAGUGGGAGGAAGAUAGGGAGGCGGGGAUGCCAGCCAGUGGGAAACUCUUCCUUUAGACAUACCGUACCUCCAGACAUUUCGAUGACAUAAAUUUAUUCAUUCAUAUAUUUAACAAA
rnacentral:lncRNA from 10 species